UCGUGGCUCUCGAGCUGAGCCUGCAGUUUCAGCAACUUUUCCUCCACGAGGCCCAGCAGGUUCUGCAGAUAGUCCCCAGCGUUGGGAUCUAAUUCCUUUCCCGCAAAGCGGCCGUUCUCCUGCGGCCAGCGAGAGCCAGCCUCAUCAGCGUCUGUUGGUUCUCACUCUUAAGAGCCUCCAACUGAGCGAAGGUGUCGCCCUGGGCCACAAACCGCCGCACCACGGACUGCGAACCACCCAGCCCCAGUCAGAGCCUAGGGAGGCACAGGCCUGCUCCGUCUCCUCUCCUUCCUCCCCACCACACAGGAUAAGUGGUCUAAGCUGGUGGCUUCUGCAAACUGAUGUAUGGGGGCAGUGUGGGUCGGACUCCGGGUUGCCUCAAGAGUGUACAAAAUCCCGGACAAAUCAUCUUUCUUGCGCCCCUGUCUACAUUUCAGCUGGCCAAAAUCGAUAUAGAGUGGGGGACAGAGCAGCGGUGAGCAUAGCUGCUUUCCAAAAUUAACGUGCCAGCAACUUCUGGCAGGGAAUCUCGUCCAUUCUCACUAGUAAUACCGGCGUCUGGGGAGCCAUCCGCUCACUGGACCCACUUCUGAAAAGGGCUUUGCCUUGGUGCCCCAGAUGAUCCCAUAUUUGGGAGUUCAGGGCCUCCUGGGGAUCAACUCCUUGGGAGCAGCGGCAAGGUCACAGAGAACCCAAAAGGUACAGACUAGUGUUCCUCAGUGGAAACCAGGCACUUUAAGAGGACACAGGAGCCUUGAAAUUUUUUCAAGCCAGGCACGGUGGCACACGCCUGAAAUCCCUGUGGUUUGGGAGGCUGAGGCAGAAGGAUUGAGAGUUCAAAGCCAGCCUCAGGGAGCUGGGGUUGUAACUCAGUGGUAAAGCCCUUGCCUCCAAUGUGUGAGGCCCUGGAUUCGAUAAAAAUAAACAAAUAAAAAUAAA